GCGGCAGGAAGGAGGAAUGAAUUUUUAAUCGAUCUACUGUCUCCCUUGAGUCGGGGCAAACGUACUGACGCUCCAUGCUGUGUUUAUUGAUCUGGAGUCUAAGAGGAUCACCCACCCUUGGUUGUUCCCUUCGUUUCUCAACUAGCUUUCAGGUCCUAAAUGAGAAAGUAAGGAUGUACUUGAGCAGUAUGAGAAGACCCAGUUCCAUUAUCUCAGAAGCCAUAAGUUUUCCAUUUACUAUCUUUCGUUCUGAAAUUUGUGUAAGAAAAUGGUCAUUCUGCUAUUAGCAGCACGAUUAUGUGUCAAUUGUAGAUUCUUAAUUGCUUAGAAUUAUUUUA